CUACGGGCGGCAGCAGUGAGGAAUUUUGCGCAAUGGGGGCAACCCUGACGCAGCAACGCCGCGUGAGUGAAGAAGGCCUUUGGGUCGUAAAGCUCUGUCGACAGGGAAGAAGUUAUAGAUAUCCAAUAGGUAUUUAUAUUGACGGUACCUGUAGAGGAAGCACCGGCUAACUCCGUGCCAGCAGCCGCGGUAAUACGGGGGGUGCAAGCGUUAUUCGGAAUUAUUGGGCGUAAAGGGCGCGUAGGCGGUCUUGUCGGUCAGAUGUGAAAGCCCGGGGCUCAACCCUGGACGUGCAUUUGAAACAGCAAGACUUGAGUACGGGAGAGGAAAGCGGAAUUCCUGGUGUAGAGGUGAAAUUCGUAGAUAUCAGGAGGAACACCGAUGGCGAAGGCAGCUUUCUGGACCGAUACUGACGCUGAGGCGCGAAGGCGUGGGUAGCGAACGGGAUUAGAUACCCGAGUAGUC
rnacentral:rRNA from 1 species